rnacentral:rRNA from 1 species
AACGAACGCUGGCGGCAGGCUUAACACAUGCAAGUCGAACGCCCCGCAAGGGGAGUGGCAGACGGGUGAGUAACGCGUGGGAAUCUACCCAUCUCUGCGGAAUAGCUCUGGGAAACUGGAAUUAAUACCGCAUACGCCCUACGGGGGAAAGAUUUAUCGGGGAUGGAUGAGCCCGCGUUGGAUUAGCUAGUUGAUGGGGUAAAGGCCUACCAAGGCGACGAUCCAUAGCUGGUCUGAGAGGAUGAUCAGCCACAUUGGGACUGAGACACGGCCCAAACUCCUACGGGAGGCAGCAGUGGGGAAUAUUGGACAAUGGGCGCAAGCCUGAUCCAGCCAUGCCGCGUGGGUGAUGAAGGCCUUAGGGUUGUAAAGCUCUUUCACCGAUGAAGAUAAUGACGGUAGUCGGAGAAGAAGCCCCGGCUAACUUCGUGCCAGCCGCCGCGGUAA